rnacentral:tRNA from 1 species
GGAGGGAUGUCCGAACGGCAAGGAGCCGGUCUCGAAAACCGGUACGGCCUUUUGGCCUUCGGGGUUCGAGUCCCCGUCCCUCCGCCA